rnacentral:rRNA from 1 species
GAUCAUGCUCAGGACGAACGCUGGCGGCGUGCCUAAUACAUGCAAGUCGAGCGAAGUUUUUCUGGUGCUUGCACUAGAAAAACUUAGCGGCGAACGGGUGAGUAACACGUAAAGAACCUGCCUCAUAGACGGGGACAACUAUUGGAAACGAUAGCUAAUACCGGAUAACAGCAUAAAUCGCAUGAUAUAUGUUUAAAAGUUGGUUUCGGCUAACACUAUGAGAUGGCUUUGCGGUGCA